GUUGCCGCAGGAUUGGGGAUUCGCGCGCUGCCGAGAUGAGUGGAUCGCGGAAAAUACUUGGAAAAUCUUAACAGCAUGAGUGAAAUACACUAUUUUAUUAGUGUUAAAAAACUUUACAGUCAAUAUGAACAAUGGAUGGGAAAACAACAAAUUGAGGAGGGACAAAAAAUGGUCGUUAUGGUCCAGAUCAAAAAGUAUGAUGGUAACCAUUACUGAAGAGUGGACAAGUGUUGUCUUUCAUUACCUUUUAAACACAUUGGCAGAUGAUCUCAAGAACACUUAAAAAUAAAAUAAAAUAAGGAUCUGAAUUUAAUAAGGAAGUGUUCACAUGAACUGAAAAUGUAAACAGUCCCAUCAGUCCUCUAAUGCUGCAGUGAAACCUCGGCUAUGUUGGAAAGAAAUGGCAUGGAGUGAUGUAAAUGUUGUCAGUGGCCAUUUCAGAUCUGCAUCAUGAUAAAUUGUCUAUGAAAGCCACUGAAUGAUAUUCGCAGUGACAUGGAGUGAGGAAACCUUCGCUGCCCUUGGUUUGUUUGUUUUGCCGGCCUGUGUGCCAGCGUAGUGAAGAAGAAGAAGUAUGGCUUGUUUUGGUCCGAGUGGGCAGUGGUUGUUCGGAUGCCAUGCUAGCCCGUUGCGCUGCUCGGAAGAAACGCCCACACACACAUACACACACACACACACUAACACAGACGCACAAAGACACAGUGCCGUGUACAUCGGAGGCCUUGGUGGUAUGUGGCAGAUACCCAGAGCUGCAGCCCACUCCAGUGUGCCAAGAAGAAUCCCUCUGUUCAUGAGGUGGACCGUCACAACAGACUAAACAAGGAAAAAGGUCUUUCUCUUGUGUGACUUGAAAAGAAUUGAAGAAUUAAAGGCUUUGCCGUGGCACAGACCAUGAAAUAACAAGACUUCUCUGUCACAGAAGUGGCUUGCUAGGUUUGCCCCAAUGAUAAUCUGGGUGGAACUGUACAAUUAGCUUCAUUGUACAUCACUAAUUUCUAUAGAACUACACAGAUUUGUGAGUCUCCACCAUGUGGUCAAGUUGGAGAAAUGUUGCCAAGCAAAAUAAACUGAUUCCCAGAAAUCUGUGUCUGCAGAACCCCAACAGUCUAAACUGCACUUUUUGGAUGUACAGUUGGGCUGUAUACAUGAGUUUUUGUCAUUUUUUGUCUUCCACAUUAAUAAGCAAAUACAUUAAAAGUGUGGUGCAGUGGAUUGCACACAUACAUACAACAUAUAUGUGCUCUUCGCUUAAUGGAAUCACACUCUUGUUGGCUAUCCUAUAAAAUAAAAGUAAGGAAAACGCCCAAUAAUUGAAAUAAUCACAUGUAAGUUGACAUGUCUUGAAUCUGUUUGAAACUUUAUAGAAGGCAGGUAAGUCUAGCAUAUUGUUUCAUCACUGUUCCCUUUUGAAACAUUUUGCACUUCAUUUUCUGCAUUUUCGGGGAAAUAAUAUUGUCAUCUUCCAAGCAUUAUACAA